rnacentral:rRNA from 2 species
AGGGUGCAGGGCGGAUGCCUUGGCACUAGGAGCCGAUGAAGGACGUGAUAAGCUGCGAUAAGCUUCGGGGAGUUGCACGUAAACUUUGAUCCGAAGAUUUCCGAAUGAGGAAACUCACUUAGAGUAAUGUCUAAGUAUCAUUAAGUGAAUACAUAGCUUAAUGAGGGGAACUCAGGGAACUGAAACAUCUAAGUACCUGAAGGAAGAGAAAGAAAUUCGAUUCCGUAAGUAGCGGCGAGCGAACGCGGAUUAGCCCAAACCAAUAAAGUUUUCUUUAUUGGGGUUGCGGACAUAUCAUAACGAAGAGGUAUCGUAAUUGAAGAGGUUUGGAAAGACCCACCACAGAAGGUAAUAGUCCUGUAUGUUAAACGAGAAGACUUUAGAUAUGAUCCAGAGUACCACGGGACACGUGAAACCCUGUGGGAAGCAGGAGGGACCACCCUCCAAGGCUAAAUACUACCUAGUGACCGAUAGCGUAUAGUACCGUGAGGGAAAGGUGAAAAGAACCCCGGGAGGGGAGUGAAAUAGAACCUGAAACCCUGCACUUACAAGCUGUGGAAGCACAUUUCUUGUGUGACCGCGUACUUUUUGUAGAACGGGCCAACGAGUUACGUUAAGUAGCAAGGUUAAGCACUUAAGGUGUGGAGCCGUAGCGAAAGCGAGUUUUAACUGAGCGUUCAGUUACUUGACGUAGACCCGAAACCGGGCGACCUACCCAUGAGCAGGAUGAAGCGAAAGUAAAAUUUCGUGGAGGUCCGAACCCACGAGCGUUGAAAAGCUCGGGGAUGACUUGUGGGUAGCGGUGAAAUUCCAAUCGAGCCCGGAGAUAGCUGGUUCUCCCCGAAAUAGCUUUAGGGCUAGCCUCAAGGUGAGAGAUACGGAGGUAGAGCACUGAAUGUCCUAGGGGGUAUUGCACCUACCGAAGACUAUCAAACUCCGAAUGCCGUCAUCUUAUACUUGGGAGUCAGACUGUGGGUGAUAAGAUUCAUAGUCGAAAGGGCAACAGCCCAGAUCGUCAGCUAAGGUCCCUAAAUGUAAGUUAAGUGGUAAAGGAUGUGGGAUUGCACAGACAACCAGGAUGUUGGCUUAGAAGCAGCCACUCAUUCAAAGAGUGCGUAAUAGCUCACUGGUCGAGUGAUCCUGCGCCGAAGAUUUCCGGGGCUAAAACUUACUACCGAAGCUACGGCAUCAGUAAUGAUGGGUAGGGGAGCUUCCCAUACGGGUUGAAGCAUGACCGUAAGGACAUGUGGACAGUAUGGGAGUGAGAAUGUUGGCAUGAGUAGCGAGAUGUGGGUGAGAAUCCCACAGGCCGUAAACCCAAGGUUUCCAGGGGAAGGUUCGUCCGCCCUGGGUUAGUCGGGACCUAAGCUGAGGCCGAAAGGCGUAGGUGAUGGACAACAGGUUGAUAUUCCUGUACUACCGAUAACCGUUUGAGAGAAGGGAUGACACAGUAGGAUAAGCUAAGCACACUGUUGGUUAUGUGUGCCCAAGCAUUGAGGCAGUCAAAGUAGGCAAAUCCGCUUUGAUAAUGCUGGGAUGUGAUGGGGAGCGAAAUUUAGUAGCGAAGUAGCUGAUUUCACACUGUCAAGAAAAGUCUCUAUCGAGGUUAAAGGUACCCGUACCGCAAACCGACACAGGUGGGUGAGGAGAGUAUCCUAAGGCCAGCGAGAGAACUGUUGUUAAGGAACUCGGCAAAAUGACCCCGUAACUUAGGGAUAAGGGGUGCCACCAUCAGGUGGCCGCAGAGAAUAGGCCCAAGCGACUGUUUACCAAAAACAUAGGUUUCUGCUAAGUCGCAAGACGAUGUAUAGGAGCUGACGCCUGCCCGGUGCUGGAAGGUUAAGGGGAUCUGUUAGAGCAAUCGAAGCAGUGAACUUAAGCCCCAGUAAACGGCGGCCGUAACUAUAACGGUCCUAAGGUAGCGAAAUUCCUUGUCGGGUAAGUUCCGACCCGCACGAAAGGCGUAACGAUUUGGGCACUGUCUCAACAACAGACUCGGUGAAAUUGUAAUUCCGGUGAAGAUGCCGGAUACCUGCGACAGGACGGAAAGACCCCAUGGAGCUUUACUGUAGCUUGACAUUGGGUCUUGGUACUACAUGUACAGGAUAGGUGGGAGGCUUUGAAACCAGGACGCCAGUUUUGGCGGAGCCAUCCUUGGGAUACCACCCUUGUAGUACUGGGACUCUAACCAUAGGCCAUGAAUCUGGUCUUGGGACACUGUCAGGUGGGCAGUUUGACUGGGGCGGUCGCCUCCCAAAAGGUAACGGAGGCGCUCAAAGGUUCUCUCAGUACGGUCGGAAAUCGUACGUAGAGUGUAAAGGCAAAAGAGAGCUUGAUUGCAAGACAUACAGGUCGAGCAAGGAUGAAAAUCGGACUUAGUGAUCCGGUGGUUCUGCGUGGAAGGGCCAUCGCUCAACGGAUAAAAGCUACCCUGGGGAUAACAGGCUUAUCUCCCCCAAGAGUCCACAUCGACGGGGAGGUUUGGCACCUCGAUGUCGGCUCAUCACAUCCUGGGGCUGUAGUAGGUCCCAAGGGUUGGGCUGUUCGCCCAUUAAAGUGGUACGCGAGCUGGGUUCAGAACGUCGUGAGACAGUUCGGUCCCUAUCCGUCGCAGGCGUAGGAAAUUUGAGAAGACCUGUCCUUAGUACGAGAGGACCGGGAUGGACGUACCUCUGGUGUACCAGUUGUUCUGCCAAGGGCAUGGCUGGGUAGCUAUGUACGGAAUGGAUAAGCGCUGAAAGCAUCUAAGCGCGAAGCCAACUUCAAGAUAAGAUUUCCCACCGCAAGGGUAAGACCCCAGAAAGACUAUCUGGUUGAUAGGUCGAAGGUGUAAGUGCAGCAAUGUAUUUAGCUUAUCGAUACUAAUAGGUCGAGGACUUGACC